rnacentral:rRNA from 1 species
GUGGGGAAUAUUGGACAAUGGGCGAAAGCCUGAUCCAGCAAUGCCGCGUGAGUGAUGAAGGCCUUAGGGUUGUAAAGCUCUUUUACCUGGGAAGAUAAUGACUGUACCGGGAGAAUAAGCCCCGGCUAACUCCGUGCCAGCAGCCGCGGUAAUACGGAGGGGGCUAGCGUUGUUCGGAAUUACUGGGCGUAAAGCGCACGUAGGCGGCCUGCCAAGUCAGAGGUGAAAGCCUGGGGCUCAACUCCAGAAUUGCCUUUGAGACUGGUAAGCUUGAACGUCGGAGAGGUGAGUGGAAUUCCGAGUGUAGAGGUGAAAUUCGUAGAUAUUCGGAAGAACACCAGUGGCGAAGGCGGCUCACUGGACGACUGUUGACGCUGAGGUGCGAAAGCGUGGGGAGCAAACAGG